GGCAUGAGCCACCGCACCUGUUCCUAUUUCCCUUUUCUAGACUCAAGCUAUACUCCAUAUUUAUUGGAAGCCAGUUACUAAGACCCGCUUACACUCAAAAGUAGUGGAAUUGAGACAGGGUUUCACCAUGUUGCUAAGGCUGGUCUUGAACUCUCGGACUCAAGUGAUGCUCCUGCCUCAGCCUCCCAAAGUGCUGGGAUUACAGGAUUUCUCCUUUCUGCCACCUUGUGAAGAAGGUGCCUUGCUUCCUUUUUGCUUUCCGUCAUGAUUGUAAGUUUCCUGAGGCCUCCCCAGCCAUGCUGAACUGUGAGUCAAUUAAACCUCUUUCCUUUAUAAAUUACACAGUCUCGGGCCAUUCUUUAUAGCAGUAUGAAAAUGGACUAAUACAGCUUGUGUGGUAAUUUCACUGGAUGAUGCAAAAGCUUUUUUGAAAAUGUUCAAGGUUCUGCCCAAAUAUGUGAUGGUGGAAUUUAUUAUGAUAUGCAAAUGAUACUUAUAGUAGUGAUGUGAUUUUAUUUAUUUAUUAAUUUUUUUUUUUGAGACAGGGUCUCACUCUGUCUCCCAGGCUGGAGUGCAGUGGUGUGAUCACAGCUCACUGCAAUCUCAACCUCCUGGGCUCAAUUGAUCCUCCCACCUCAGCCUCUUGAGCAAGUGGGACCACAGGCAUGCACCAACACACC
rnacentral:lncRNA from 1 species